rnacentral:rRNA from 1 species
GACGAACGCUGGCGGCGUGCUUAACACAUGCAAGUCGAACGGAAAGGCCCUGCUUUUGUGGGGUGCUCGAGUGGCGAACGGGUGAGUAACACGUGAGUAACCUGCCCUUGACUUUGGGAUAACGACAGGAAACUGGGGCUAAUACCGGAUAGGAGCUCCUGCUGCAGGGUGGGGGUUGGAAAGUUUCGGCGGGUGGGGAUGGACUCGCGGCUUAUCAGCUUGUUGGUGGGGUAGUGGCUUACCAAGGCUUUGACGGGUAGCCGGCCUGAGAGGGUGACCGGCCACAUUGGGACUGCGGUACGGCCCAGACGCCUACGGGGGGCAGCAGUGGGGAAUAUUGCCCAAUGGGCGGAAGCCUGAUGAAGCAACGCCGCGUGCGGGAUGACGGCCUUCGGGUUGUAAACCGCUUUCGCCUGUGACGAAGCGUGAGUGACGGUAAUGGGUAAAGAAGCACCGGCUAACUACGUG